GUGGGGAAUCUUGCGCAAUGGGCGAAAGCCUGACGCAGCCAUGUCGCGUGAAUGAUGAAGGUCUUAGGAUUGUAAAAUUCUUUCACCGGGGACGAUAAUGACGGUACCCGGAGAAGAAGCUCCGGCUAACUUCGUGCCAGCAGCCGCGGUAAUACGAAGGGGGCUAGCGUUGCUCGGAAUUACUGGGCGUAAAGGGCGCGUAGGCGGACAGCUUAGUCAGAGGUGAAAGCCCAGGGCUCAACCUUGGAAUUGCCUUUGAUACUGGCUGUCUUGAGUUUGGGAGAGGUGAGUGGAACUCCGAGUGUAGAGGUGAAAUUCGUAGAUAUUCGGAAGAACACCAGUGGCGAAGGCGACUCACUGGCCCAAUACUGACGCUGAGGCGCGAAAGCGUGGGGAGCAAACAGGAUUAGAAACCCUAGUAGUCC
rnacentral:rRNA from 1 species